rnacentral:rRNA from 1 species
GAUGAACGCUGGCGGCGUGCCUAAUACAUGCAAGUCGAGCGAACAGAUGAGGAGUUUGCUCCUCUGACGUUAGCGGCGGACGGGUGAGUAACACGUGGAUAACCUACCUAUAAGACUGGGAUAACUUCGGGAAACCGGAGCUAAUACCGGAUAAUAUAUUGAACCGCAUGGUUCAAUAGUGAAAGACGGUUUUGCUGUCACUUAUAGAUGGAUCCGCGCCGCAUUAGCUAGUUGGUAAGGUAACGGCUUACCAAGGCGACGAUGCGUAGCCGACCUGAGAGGGUGAUCGGCCACACUGGAACUGAGACACGGUCCAGACUCCUACGGGAGGCAGCAGUAGGGAAUCUUCCGCAAUGGGCGAAAGCCUGACGGAGCAACGCCGCGUGAGUGAUGAAGGUCUUCGGAUCGUAAAACUCUGUUAUUAGGGAAGAACAAAUGUGUAAGUAACUAUGCACGUCUUGACGGUACCUAAUCAGAAAGCCACGGCUAACUACGUG